GAAUAUUGGUUAAGGGGUAACACCACUCUAGCGGCCGAAAAAAGGCCUAACUUUGACGAUUUAUCUUAGAAGUAUGGAAAAAGGUAAAGAAUUUUUUUUCAGAGAGUUUAUUUAACACAUAUUGAAUUAUGAAAUUAAAAAUGU